GGACAUCAAGUAAAAGAAAGAAAGGAAGAGAAGAUAAGAAGAAAUGAGGAGAAAUGGAAUUUUUCUCCUCUCCUUUAUAAUUAGCCCACACUAUUUCUCUUCAAAAUAGUAGGAAAUAGAGAGAAAUGGAGAGAAAUUUAUAGUAAUAUACUAAAAUGUCUCUCUACAACAUAAUAGAAAGUUAAUUAAAUUUCUUUUCUUUUCUUUU
rnacentral:misc_RNA from 1 species